rnacentral:rRNA from 1 species
UACGAAGGGGGCUAGCGCUGCUCGGAAUUACUGGGCGUAAAGGGAGCGUAGGCGGAUAGUUUAGUCAGAGGUGAAAGCCCAGGGCUCAACCUUGGAAUUGCCUUUGAUACUGGCUAUCUUGAGUACGGAAGAGGUAUGUGGAACUCCGAGUGUAGAGGUGAAAUUCGUAGAUAUUCGGAAGAACACCAGUGGCGAAGGCGACAUACUGGUCCGUUACUGACGCUGAGGCUCGAAAGCGUGGGGAGCAAACAGG